UACCUGCAUUCAGUCAUUAAAAAAAAAGCUCCAGCAACCUCUCUUUCAGGCUUAGAAGGCCAUGAGGUCAUUGUUGUCUGUUGUCCAUAAAGUCUCCAUCUUCUCUUAACCCUGCUCUUCUUCUGCUUCCUUUUCUUUCUGAUCCAAAGUUUGUGACGACUAUGCUGCAACGGGUCGAAGCUUCAGUGUUCGUCUGGGAUACACAAAGAAACCGACUGAUAAGCUGAAGUGGAAGUUUAAUGACGCUGUAAUAUGUAUUGUAAAAUCAACAACAGAGAAACUUACUUGUAACAAUAACAAUUAUGGCAUUAAUGAUGAUGGAUCCCUCAAACUGAUUAAUCUGAAGAAGGACCAAGAAGGAUUUUACACCUCUGAGGUUCACGAUAGCAAUGGAAAAGAACAGCACAUAAAGACAACACACUUAUGUAUACAAGAUCCUGUGAAGAAGCCUAAAGUGGAAGCAACAUGUAAAGAAGCAAACGUGAUGUUUAAAUGCAUUCCUGAUAAGACAUCCAAGAAUGAAAUCAAAAAGUACGAAUGGCUUCAGAACAAUGCUCAGAUAAAGAAAACGGACUCGGCUUUUACAUUGACAGCUGCAGAAACUAAAGACAUCAAAUUUGCUUGCAACGUUUCCAAUGAAGUCAGUUUUGAAGUCAGUGAUCCUGUCACUCAUGAUUGUGCUACAAGUGUCCCAGGUCUCCCAGAUGAAUUGUGGGGAAUAAGUAUCUGUGUUUUUAUAGGUGGUGGAGGAGGUACGUUUUCAGAUUCCUUUAACAUCAGUUACUAAGUUACUGCACUACAUUGUAGAGAUGCUGCACAUCUUGUGAAGAUAUGUAAAAGCUGAAUUCAUAUUCAUUUAAUUAUUUAUUUAGUUAUUUUCAUCGAAGCAGGAUAAUGUUACACUGAGAAAUACUAAAAAUAUAGACUUCAAAUGCAAAAUCUAAUUAAUUUGUACAGAUUUGUUGAAGCUUAAUGUAUCAAGACGAUGUUGGUCAUGAAGGAAAGUUUUUUGGGGUUUUUUUUGCUUUGUUUGUUCGUUGAACCAUUUCUGUGUUGAUUUGGCCCUAAAAAUAACACUUGUGCUAUAAUGUUUCUAGUUUUUGUUCUUCUGCUGACCGUCACCGUUACUGAGUGCUGUGUCCGAGUUAAAAGGAAAAGGAAGAAACAACUGAAGAGUAACGUGUUAUUUCACUUUAUUAAUCAUUUGUUCAUAAGAACUUUGUAGAUUAAAGGAGAAUUUAUUAGAAUAAUCUGAAAUUAUCUUAAAGAUCUAUAAAGAAAUAAGUUACAAUCAUAACUGUGAGAAACGAUGGUUGUCCUCUGACUUCCUGUCAGGAUUAAAAUAAUUUCCUCACUGAGACUACGUCACAAAUAACUGGCUAAAUAUUUGGCUUUGAGUCCUAAUUUCUGCCUCUCUAAUCACUGACCAGAUGAUGAGGAGCUUCCUUUGAAGCGGACCGACACCGAGCAGCCGUCAUCAUCGCCGUCUUCCUCCUCUUCCUAAACAUCGUCCUCCUCAUCACCACCAGCCAUGAGCCAAACGAUGUUUCUAUACGCUCAGCUGGUGCUGGACAAACAUCUGUACAUCAGUGAAAGCAUCUCUGCAUUGGGUGGUGAAAAAUGAAGACUCAUAAAGACAGAUUUUACAUGGGAUUGUGGGCGGAGCUCCAGCGCUGCAUAGACAUGUGUUUUAUUUUUCUCUCACCGAUUUGAUGAAUGCCAUUUUGCGAAAAUAAAAACAGAAUUUGUUGCUUCAAUCAGCUCAAAUGUUUCAUUUUAGCAGCUGCUCUGACCAGAAACUCAAGAUGGCUCUAAAUCUGAUAAAGCAGAGUCUCUGACAAGACAGGUGUGAGCUGUUGUUACAGGAAAUGUUUUCACCUGAGAACAUUUGCACUUUCUAAAUAUUUUGCAAUUAAAAAUGUUUUGACUUUUCUUUUUGCUACAAGCUCA